AUUGAACGCUGGCGGCAUGCUUUACACAUGCAAGUCGAACGGUAACAGGCCGCAAGGUGCUGACGAGUGGCGAACGGGUGAGUAAUGCAUCGGAACGUGCCCAGUCGUGGGGGAUAACGCAGCGAAAGCUGCGCUAAUACCGCAUACGAUCUAUGGGUGAAAGCGGGGGACCGUAAGGCCUCGCGCGAUUGGAGCGGCCGAUGUCAGAUUAGGUAGUUGGUGGGGUAAAGGCUCACCAAGCCAACGAUCUGUAGCUGGUCUGAGAGGACGACCAGCCACACUGGGACGGAGACACGGCCCAGACUCCUACGGGAGGCAGCAGUGGGGAAUUUUGGACAAUGGGCGCAAGCCUGAUCCAGCAAUGCCGCGUGCAGGAAGAAGGCCUUCGGGUUGUAAACUGCUUUUGUACGGAACGAAAAGGCUCUGGUUAAUACCUGGGGCUCAUGACGGUACCGUAAGAAUAAGCACCGGCUAACUACGUGCCAGCCGCCGCCGUAACAC
rnacentral:rRNA from 1 species